rnacentral:rRNA from 1 species
UACGAAGGGGGCUAGCGUUGCUCGGAAUUACUGGGCGUAAAGGGCGCGUAGGCGGCCUUCUAAGUCAGACGUGAAAUCCCCCGGCUUAACCUGGGAACUGCGUCUGAUACUGGGAGGCUUGAGUAUGGGAGAGGGAUGUAGAAUUCCAGGUGUAGCGGUGAAAUGCGUAGAUAUCUGGAGGAAUACCGGUGGCGAAGGCGGCAUCCUGGACCAUUACUGACGCUGAGGCGCGAAAGCUAGGGGAGCAAACGGG